rnacentral:rRNA from 2 species
AGAAAUAUGAAUUAGUUCAUAUCGCUAAACUCAAAUAAUAACCCUUUACCGUAGGUAAAGAUAGGUUAAGUUAUAAAGGGCGCAUGGUGGAUGCCUUGGCACUAGGAGCCGAUGAAGGACGGUACUAACACCGAUAUGCUUCGGGGAGCUGUAAGUAAGCUUUGAUCCGGAGAUUUCCGAAUGGGGGAACCCAAUACUUUUAAUCGAGUAUUAUCAUUAAGUGAAUACAUAGCUUAAUGAAGGUAGACGAGGGGAACUGAAACAUCUAAGUACCUUCAGGAAGAGAAAGAAAAAUCGAUUCCCUAAGUAGCGGCGAGCGAACGGGGAAGAGCCCAAACCAAGAAGCUUGCUUCUUGGGGUUGUAGGACAGAACUUUGGAGUUACCAAGUUAAGUUGUAAUCGAAUCAGCUGGGAAGCUGAGUCAAAGAGUGUGAUAACCACGUAGAUUAAACAACUUGACCUCCGUUCUGGAUCCUGAGUACGGCGGAACACGUGAAAUUCCGUCGGAAUCCGGGAGGACCAUCUCCCAAGGCUAAAUACUCCCUAGUGACCGAUAGUGAACCAGUACCGUGAGGGAAAGGUGAAAAGCACCCCGGAAGGGGAGUGAAAUAGAUCCUGAAACCAUGUGCCUACAAUUAGUCAAAGCUCGUUAAUGAGUGAUGGCGUGCCUUUUGUAGAAUGAACCGGCGAGUUACGUUUAUAUGCGAGGUUAAAGUGAAAAGCUGGAGCCGUAGCGAAAGCGAGUCUGAAAUGGGCGAGUGAGUAUAUAGAUGUAGACCCGAAACCAAGUGACCUACCCAUGUCCAGGUUGAAGGUGUGGUAAAACACACUGGAGGACCGAACCCACGUCAGUUGAAAAUGGCGGGGAUGAGGUGUGGGUAGCGGUGAAAUUCCAAUCGAACUUGGAGAUAGCUGGUUCUCUCCGAAAUAGCUUUAGGGCUAGCCUCGGAAUAUUGGAUCAUGGAGGUAGAGCACUGUUUGGACUAGGGGCCCGUCAUGGGUUACUGAAUUCAGAUAAACUCCGAAUACCAUUGAUUUAGUUCCGGGAGUCAGACUGCGAGUGAUAAGAUCCGUAGUCGAAAGGGAAACAGCCCAGAUCACCAGUUAAGGUCCCAAAAUUUAUGUUAAGUGGAAAAGGAUGUGGCGGUGCACAGACAACUAGGAUGUUGGCUCAGAAGCAGCCACCAUUUAAAGAGUGCGUAAUAGCUCACUAGUCGAGUGCCGCUGCGCCGAAAAUGUACCGGGGCUAAACAUAAUACCGAAACUGUGGGUGGACACGUAAGUGUCCGCGGUAGGAGAGCGUUCUAAGGGCGAUGAAGCUAGAUCGUAAGGACUAGUGGAGCGCUUAGAAGUGAGAAUGCCGGCAUGAGUAGCGAAAGAUCAGUGAGAAUCUGAUCCACCGUAUGACUAAGGUUUCCUGGGGAAGGCUCGUCCUCCCAGGGUUAGUCGGGACCUAAGGCGAGGCCGAGAGGCGUAGUCGAUGGAUAACAGGUUGAUAUUCCUGUACUAGUUUAUUUUGUUUGAAUGAUGGAGGGACGCAGGAAGCUAAGGAAUGCACACGACUGGAAAUGUGUGUCCAAGCAACAAGUCUUGAGUUGAGUGAAAUGCUUGAUUCUUUAAGGACAAGUUGUGAUGGGGAGCGAAAUUAAGUAGCGAAGUUCCUGAUGUUACACUGCCAAGAAAAGCUUCUAGUGAGAAAUAAACUACCCGUACCGUAAACCGACACAGGUGGUCGAGGAGAAUAUCCUAAGGUGAGCGAGUGAACUCUCGUUAAGGAACUCGGCAAAAUGACCCCGUAACUUCGGGAGAAGGGGUGCUGACCGUCAGGUCAGCCGCAGUGAAUAGGCCCAAACAACUGUUUAUCAAAAACACAGGUCUCUGCAAAAUCGUAAGAUGACGUAUAGGGGCUGACGCCUGCCCGGUGCUGGAAGGUUAAGAGGAUGAGUUAGCGCAAGCGAAGCCCAGAAUUGAAGCCCCAGUAAACGGCGGCCGUAACUAUAACGGUCCUAAGGUAGCGAAAUUCCUUGUCGGGUAAGUUCCGACCCGCACGAAAGGCGUAAUGAUUUGGGCACUGUCUCAACGAGAGACUCGGUGAAAUUAUAAUACCCGUGAAGAUGCGGGUUACCCGCGACAGGACGGAAAGACCCCAUGGAGCUUUACUGUAGCUUGAUAUUGAGUGUUUGUACAGUUUGUACAGGAUAGGUAGGAGCCGUAGAAAUCGGAACGCUAGUUUCGAUUGAGGCGUUGGUGGGAUACUACCCUAACUGUAUGACCACUCUAACCCGCGCCACUUAGCGUGGCGGGAGACAGUGUCAGGUGGGCAGUUUGACUGGGGCGGUCGCCUCCUAAAGUGUAACGGAGGCGCUCAAAGGUUCUCUCAGAAUGGUUGGAAAUCAUUCGUAGAGUGUAAAGGUAUAAGAGAGCUUGACUGUGAGAUUGACAAAUCGAGCAGGGACGAAAGUCGGACUUAGUGAUCCGGUGGUUCCGUAUGGAAGGGCCAUCGCUCAACGGAUAAAAGCUACCCUGGGGAUAACAGGCUUAUCUCCCCCAAGAGUCCACAUCGACGGGGAGGUUUGGCACCUCGAUGUCGGCUCAUCGCAUCCUGGGGCUGUAGUCGGUCCCAAGGGUUGGGCUGUUCGCCCAUUAAAGCGGUACGCGAGCUGGGUUCAGAACGUCGUGAGACAGUUCGGUCCCUAUCCGUCGCGGGCGCAGGAAAUUUGAGAGGAGCUGUCCUUAGUACGAGAGGACCGGGAUGGACAUACCUCUGGUGUACCAGUUGUGCCGCCAGGCGCAUCGCUGGGUAGCUAUGUAUGGCAGGGAUAAACGCUGAAAGCAUCUAAGUGUGAAGCCCCCCUCGAGAUGAGAUUUCCCAUUCCUUUAUGGAAGUAAGACCCCUGAAAGAUGAUCAGGUAGAUAGGCUAGGAGUGGAAGUACAGCGAUGUAUGGAGCGGACUAGUACUAAUCGGUCGAGGACUUAACCAAAGGUGCAAUGUUAGGCUUUUGAAAUGAAAAUAUUACUUAUUAUGCAGUUUUGAGAGAACGAAGUUCUUCUCAGUGCG